UACGUAGGGUGCGAGCGUUAAUCGGAAUUACUGGGCGUAAAGCGUGCGCAGGCGGUCUGUUAAGACCGAUGUGAAAUCCCCGGGCUUAACCUGGGAACUGCAUUGGUGACUGGCAGGCUUUGAGUGUGGCAGAGGGGGGUAGAAUUCCACGUGUAGCAGUGAAAUGCGUAGAGAUGUGGAGGAACACCGAUGGCGAAGGCAGCCCCCUGGGCUAACACUGACGCUCAUGCACGAAAGCGUGGGGAGCAAACAGG
rnacentral:rRNA from 1 species